rnacentral:rRNA from 1 species
UUCCGGAGCUAACGCGUUAAGUAGACCGCCUGGGGAGUACGGCCGCAAGGUUAAAACUCAAAUGAAUUGACGGGGGCCCGCACAAGCGGUGGAGCAUGUGGUUUAAUUCGAUGCAACGCGAAGAACCUUACCUGGUCUUGACAUCCACGGAAGUUUUCAGAGAUGAGAAUGUGCCUUCGGGAACCGUGAGACAGGUGCUGCAUGGCUGUCGUCAGCUCGUGUUGUGAAAUGUUGGGUUAAGUCCCGCAACGAGCGCAACCCUUAUCCUUUGUUGCCAGCGGUCCGGCCGGGAACUCAAAGGAGACUGCCAGUGAUAAACUGGAGGAAGGUGGGGAUGACGUCAAGUCAUCAUGGCCCUUACGACCAGGGCUACACACGUGCUACAAUGGCGCAUACAAAGAGAAGCGACCUCGCGAGAGCAAGCGGACCUCAUAAAGUGCGUCGUAGUCCGGAUUGGAGUCUGCAACUCGACUCCAUGAAGUCGGAAUCGCUAGUAAUCGUGGAUCAGAAUGCCACGGUGAAUACGUUCCCGGGCCUUGUACACACCGCCCGUCACACCAUGGGAGUGGGUUGCAAAAGAAGUAGGUAGCUUAACCUUCGGGAGGGCGCUUACCACUUUGUGAUUCAUGACUGGGGUGAAGUCGUAACAAGGUAACCGUAGGGGAACCUGC